UUUAAAGGUCGAACAGACCUAUUACUUAAAGCUUCUGCACUCUAAAAUUUCUUUAAUUCAACAUCGAGGUCGCAAACUUUGUUAUAGAUAUGAACUCUCCAACAAAAUUACGCUGUUAUCCCUAAGGUAACUUAUUCUACUAAUCAAUAAUAAUGGAUCAAAUAUUCAUAAAUCAAUGGUUUUAUGUUAAAAAAGUUUUAUUAAUUUUCCUGUCACCCCAACAAAAUAUAAAAAUAAAUAAAUAAAAUUAUUUUACUAUAAAUAUUUACAUAAAAUUAUAUAAAGUUCUAUAGGGUCUUCUCGUCCUUUAAUAAUAUUCAAGCCUUUUAACUAGAAAGCUAAAUUAUUAUAAUUAUAAAAGUGAGACAGUUUGUAUUUCGUUCAACCAUUCAUACUAGCCUUUAAUUAAAAGGCAAAUGAUUAUGCUACCUUUGCACAGUCAGAAUACUGCGGCCCUUCAAAAUUCAGUGGGCAGGCCAGACUUAAUAUUAUAAUCAAAAAGAC
rnacentral:rRNA from 1 species